CAGCAGCCGCGGUAANACGUNGGGGGCAAGCGUUAUCCGGAUUUACUGGGUGUAAAGGGAGCGUAGACGGCAAGGCAAGUCUGANGUGAAAACCCAGGGCUUAACCCNGGGACCGCAUUCGAAACNGUCUGGCUUGAGUGCCGGAGAGGUNAGCGGAAUUCCUAGUNUAGCGGUGAAAANGCGUAGAAAUUGGAAUGAACACCAGNGGCGAAGGCGGCUNACUGGACGGUAACUGACGUUGAGGCUCGAAAGCGUGGGGAGCAAACAGGAAUAGAUACCCUGGUAGUCCACGCCCUUAACGAUGAAUGCUAGGUGUUUGGGGAGCAAAGCUUUUUCGGUGCCGCCGCAAACGCAUUAAGCAUUCCACCUGGGGAGU
rnacentral:rRNA from 1 species